AUGAACGCUGGCGGCAUGCCUAACACAUGCAAGUCGAACGCUCUAGCUUGCUAGAGAGUGGCGGACGGGUGAGGAACAUAUGGGUGAUCUACCCUCAAGUGAGGAAUACCAUCGAGAAAUCGGUGACAAUACCGCAUACCAUUGCACAGCAGAUGUGCACUGAAAGUCGCAAGACGCUUGAGGACGAGCCUGUACCCGAUUAGAUAGUUGGUGGGGUAAAAGCCUACCAAGUCGACGAUCGGUAGCUGGUCUGAGAGGACGAUCAGCCACACUGGGAUUGAGAACGGCCCAGACUCCUACGGGGGGCAGCAGUGAGGAAUAUUCGUCAAUGGGGGAAACCCUGAACGAGCAAUGCCGCGUGCAGGAAGAAGGCUUUCGGGUCGUAAACUGCUUUUUUCGAGGAAGAGUACGGACGGUACUCGAAGAAUCAGCCCCGGCUAACUACGUGCCAGCAGCCGCGGUAAUACGUAGGGGGCGAGCGUUAUCCGGAGUUACUGGGCGUAAAGCGUCCGCAGGCGGUCUUUUAAGUUUGAACUGACAGUUCUCGGCUUAACCGAGGAAGUGGUUCGAAAACUGGAAGACUUGAGGGUCCGAGAGGAAGAUGGAAUUCCAGGUGAAGCGGUGAAAUGCGUAGAUAUCUGGAGGAACACCAAAGGCGAAGGCAGUCUUCUGGAGGAAACCUGACGCUCAGGGACGAAAGCUAGGGGAGCGAACGGGAUUAGAUACCCCGGUAGUCCUAGCCGUAAACGAUGACCACUAGAUGUAGGGGGUAUCGACCCCCCCUGUGUCGAAGCUAACGCAUGAAGUGGUCCGCCUGGGGAGUACGGUCGCAAGAUUAAAACUCAAAGAAAUUGACGGGGACCCGCACAAGCAGCGGAGCGUGUGGUUUAAUUCGAAGCAACGCGAAGAACCUUACCAGGACUUGACAUGUAUCUGCACCAGCGGUAACGCGCUGUCCCUUCGGGGCGGAUACACAGGUGCUGCAUGGCUGUCGUCAGCUCGUGUCGUGAGAUGUUGGGUUAAGUCCCGCAACGAGCGCAACCCCCAGAGUCGGUUAAAUCUCUCCGGCUCGACUGCUGUGACCAACACAGAGGAAGGUGGGGAUGACGUCAAGUCAGCACGGCCCUUACGUUCUGGGCUACACACACGCUACAAUGGCCGAGACAAAGAGCAGCGAACCCGCGAGGGGAAGCGAAUCUCGUCAAACUCGGUCUCAGUUCAGAUUGGAGGCUGCAACCCGCCUCCAUGAAGUCGGAGUUGCUAGUAACCGUAGGUCAGCACAACUACGGUGAUACAAUCCCGGGUCUUGUACUCACCGC
rnacentral:rRNA from 1 species